UGACCGCCGAGGGAGGAGGGGAGGCCCCAGCAGGCUCGCUGCGCUUGGCAACGAGCUCCUGGACACCCGCACAAGAGAGGUGCGCGUGUGGGGGUGCGGGUGUUGGGGGUUCGGAGGGGAUGGGGAACUCGGGGACGGCAAGUCCAGGCCGGCCGCUCUCGGGAGGGGCUGCCCUCUGGCCCUGGGGAGGAGGGAGCGAAGGGGUGGAGGAGAAGCUGGCCUGGGCGGGGUCCCAGGGGAGGGACUGCGGCUCCUCCCACGUGCCCAGGGCCCCCAGGGAGGAAGGGGUGCGCUGAGGCGCCAGGGAGGGAAGAGCUCAAGCUGGGGAGGAGGGCUUUGCCCAGAAGGAACCGGCCCCUCCUCGCCAACCCCGCUCCCGGUGGGGGGGGGAACCCUCCUCCCCCAGGUUCUCACCGCUCUGGACCGAGAUGCCUCUUGUCGGAAGCAUAAGUUGCGACAAAAACUGGAACAGAUCAUCAGCCUCGUGUCCAGCAACAGCUAAGUGUGGCGGAACCGGGCCCUGUUCUGAGCGCCUGGAGAACUCUAACCAGGCUCGUGCCAGGGCCUGACCUGGGCCUGGAGACUCUGGAACUCUCCUCCUCCCGGCCCUACGGCCAGACUUCCUCCGUGUUGUCUGCACUUGCCCCGGACCCCUCACCCUCCGCUGCCCUGCCCUGCGCCUGCCCUGAGUGGCCUGGCCAAGGCGGCCGUGCCUUACUCCUUUGUUCUUCUUCCUCCUCGGAGGGAUCUGGCCCCGCCUCGUGGUCCCGAAAACCCACUUCUCUCCUCUUCUUUUGGCAUGAGCUUUUUGUUGUCGUUGUUCAUGUAGUUUUUUUCCUCAUUAAAUGUUGGGAACGUGGAGUGCGGGCGUGGCUUUGUCCUUGGGGCAGGUGGGCCGUGGGUGAACAGGGAAGCUGCUGGGGGACAGGCUGUCGGGCUCAGGACUCUGGAUGAGCGGGAGGAAGAGUAACUCGCUGCAGGGGUCCUGAGGAUCUGAGGAGCUCCCGGGCGGUGUCCAGUCCGUCCGUCCUCAGCAAACGCUG
rnacentral:lncRNA from 1 species